rnacentral:rRNA from 1 species
GCGAGCGUUAAUCGGAAGUUACUGGGCGUAAAGCGCAUGCAGGUGGUUUGUUAAGUUCAGAUGUGAAAGACCCGGGGCGUCAACCUCGGAAAUUGCAUUUGAAACUGGCAGACUAGAGUACUGUAGAGGGGGGUAGGAAGUUUCAGGUGUAGCGGUGAAAUGCGUAGAGAUCUGAAGGAAUACCGGUGGCGAAGGCGGCCCCCUCGGACAGAUACUGACACUCAGAUGCGAAAGCGUGGGGAGCAAACAGGAUUAGAUACCCUGGUAG